UAACCAUGGUGGCGCGUGGGAAGGAAAUGAUUGCGCUGCCGUUUCUUCGUGCAAUGAAUGACCUAGAAGCGAUCGAUGUUGGUGGCGGCGACUACAUGGCGACAGCAACGACAGGGGAUGAGGCGGAGGCGACACCGUUAGCGGCUCGAGAACCAAAGAACGGGGAUUAGGAGGUGGCACCCGGGUAGAUGGGUCAGGGCGAGGCUCACAGCUCGUCACGACAUCACUCGCCGUCGUCCUCGACUAACAGAUUCAGAUGAUACACUAACGGUCGUUGAGGAAUUAACAUCUACUCUAUAUGUGGCAUCAUAAUGUUGCAGCCACGUUGAUUUUUGGGAGUAUCAGACCCAAUUAUUAUCAUGGAUAUAUCUCUGA